AGAGUUUGAUCAUGGCUCAGGACGAACGCUGGCGGCGUGCCUAACACAUGCAAGUCGAGCGAUGAAGCCCUUCGGGGUAGAUUAGCGGCGGACGGGUGAGUAACACGUGGGUAACCUGCCUCAAAGAGGGGGAUAGCCUCCCGAAAGGGAGAUUAAUACCGCAUAAUAUUAGUUUUUCGCAUGGAGAACUAAUUAAAGGA
rnacentral:rRNA from 1 species